GCCUAACACAUGCAAGUCGAACGGUAAGUAAGGUAGCAAUACUUUACCAAGAGUGACGCACGGGUGCGUAACACGUAUGCAACCUACCCUUUACAGAAGGAUAGCUCGGGGAAACUCGAAUUAACCCGUCAUAAUAUAAUUGGAUGGCAUCAUUUGAUUAUUAAAACUGAGGUGGUAAAGGAUGGGCAUGCGUCUGAUUAGCUAGUUGGUAGUGUAAUGGACUACCAAGGCGAUGAUCAGUAGGGGAACUGAGAGGUUGAUCCCCCACACUGGCACUGAGAUACGGGCCAGACUCCUACGGGAGGCAGCAGUAGGGAAUAUUGGUCAAUGGGUGAGAGCCUGAACCAGCCAUGCCGCGUGCAGGAAGAAGGCCUUCUGGGUUGUAAACUGCUUUUGUCAGGGGAUAAAAUUUCCUUGCGAGGAAAAUUGAAGGUACCUGGCGAAUAAGCCACGGCUAACUACGUGCCAGCAGCCGCGGUAAU
rnacentral:rRNA from 1 species